CUUAUUGACUCGGUGGUCUAUUGACCAUUCAGAUAUUUACCCUGGGUGUCGCCUGUGUUUGGAAAAUGUGUUUGUAUCCUGUGACUUUCUAACAGAAGUUUAAUUCUUGUUAGAAAACAUACACUUGAAAGAUGGCUCAGCCACUUUGGAAUCACAGCAAGGAAAAUUCACCAUUUCUGCUGCUGGGCUGAGUUCCUUUUGGAUUCCAGUAAGUGAGCAGCCCCAGCCUGUGGAUUUUUCUUUGUCUUCAGAGGAGCAGGACCUGGUUUUAACUGGCACAUCUUCGUGUUGCUCACUCCUUAAGUAGUUUCACUUACUUUUUAACUGUUACAUGCCAACAAAACAGGUUGCUUAAUUGGUUUGACCUUUCACAGUAUUUUUUAAUUUUUCAAUCUUAGUUUCAUAGUUCCAUCUGGCCCUUUAAAACGACAUCUGGUUAACUGUACUUAACCAGCUGAUCACUGUACAGUUAUUUUUAAAUGUAAUGUAUGCUUAAACAGAUGUUAUUUUUAUAGAUGUGGAUCUAAACUGCACUUGUGUACGUGCUAUGUCUGCAUAAACUCUUUCUGCAAUUCAAAUGUUGACACCCAAAAUUACAAGCCAGAAUGCUUAUGAACUCCACUAUUAUGGUACUGCACUUUUGUGCUGCUUGUUAGGUCACAAAGGGGCCUCGAUGCUUUUGGUGUUGCUGUCGGAGAUAAUUCCAUCUCUGGCACACUGUGUCUGUAGCGUCCUGGACCUUCCUCUCACGGACAAAAAAGGGAAGACCUGCGCCUUCAGACUAGGAAAGGUUUUCUGAUGGUGAAAGCAUCUCAGCGUGGAGUGGGCCUUGUUUCCGAGAGGACACAGUCUCCGAAGACCAAGCAUCGGGGGGGCACUUUGCAUAUGACCCAAGGUUGAGUCUUCCUUGACACAAAGACAGUGGUCGCAGUCGAAAAUAUUUUGCGGAGAACUUUAAAAGUAUCAUUCUCAAGGUUAAAAAUUGCUGUUCUACAUAAUACCUCGGUAAUUGAUAGACAUUUUCUCUCUCCAGAGUCCAGUUUCUGUGAAAAACACCACGUAACAUCUGUUCAUAAACAGUCCUUCUGUGAAAACACUGACACAGGUCUUGAGCUUAUACGGGCUCAAUUCCCCUGCCAGGUGCAGAUGGCACGAUGUAUUUAUACAGCUGAAGCCCGCGGAACAGAAGCCCGGCCCGAUCUCCAGGUAGGACUGCAGGCCAGCCUGUGCUGCUGUUCGCAGGCCUCACCCCCAGCUUGUUCAAGGGGUUCCUUCUGACACAAAGACAAAUUGU
rnacentral:lncRNA from 1 species